rnacentral:lncRNA from 1 species
GCUUUAAACUAUGUGCUGUUUUUGCUAUUUGAGGAUGACUGUUGAUCCUGGAGUGGUGGCUGUGGCCUGUGAUCAGUGAACACUGUCUUUCAUCUGGUCCCCUGUGUGCUCCAGCUGGAGUCAGUCUUUCUUAGCAAGAAUCUCAUCAGCCAAUAAAGUGGGUGAGCCUGUUAGGGCGAUGUCAUCAACAUCAUAUUUUAACCAACAAAGAUCACCAAUCCAGAUGUUCGUGAUGCAUAAACAAUGGGGUCAGCCUUGCCGCCAAGCAAACUGUUUGCUGGACUUAUAUCUGUCCCUCAAGCUUUGAUUAAACCAAAAUCUUGCACUGUACUUGCCCCCAAAGAAGUUACAUAAUAACUUGUUGAAAUCAAAACCAAAGUGUCGUCUGGUACGGGG